rnacentral:lncRNA from 1 species
UAGGCAUAGAAAUGAAUCUCUUCUAUCAAGAUGAAAACUACAAACGACUGUUUCCAUGAAAGUGAGAAUAAAGAUGGAGUCUCGCUCUGUCGCCCAGGCUGGAGUGCAGCGGCAUGAUCUCACUGCAAGCUCCGCCUCGCGGGUUCACGCCAUUCUCCUGCCUCAGCCUCCCGAGCAGCUGGGACUACAGGCACCCGCCACCACGCCGGGCUAAUUUUUUAUAUUUUUAGUAGAGGCGGGGUUUCACCAUGUUAGUCAGGAUGGUCUCGAUCUCCUGGCCUCGUGAUCCGCCCGCCUCGGCCUCCCAAAGUGCUGGGAUUAUAGGCGUGACUCACCGCGCCCGGCCCUAUAUUGUGAACUUCUACAAAUAAUAUGAAAGAAACAGAAGACAGGCAACACAAUAGAAAGUGGGCCAAAUCAUAAAGUGGGCACUUCAUGAAAAAGGACAUCCAAAUUGCUAAUAAACAUAUGAAAAGAUGCUCAACUCUCUUAGUCAUCAGCGAAAUGCAAAUUAAUUAAUCAGAAUGAAUAAAAUUAAAAGACAGAAAAUUCAGAGUGUCAACUGGAAUUCUCGUAUAUUCCAGGAAGGAUUAUAAAUUAGUAAAACUUCAUUGAAAACGGUUUGGUAGUACUUAUCAGAGCUGAGUAUAUACUUAACCUUAUGAGCUGGCAAUUCCAGUCUGAGGUAUAUUGUGUGUGUGUGUGUGUGUUUAUAUAUAUUGUAAGGUAGGAGGAUCAGCUACAUUAUUUUCAGGGACAAGUGCAAAAUGAAAUGAAGGAUUCCUGUCGAGGAGAAAUUAAUAACAUACAGUAUUGUCAACUGAAAUCUGGAGGCUUUAAUGCAAAUCUCUUAGUAGAUUGGAAGGAAAAAGGAAUUAAGGAUAGCUCAGGAACUAAAUAAUUACUAUAAGAGAUCUCUUUCUCUUUUUCACACACACGCAUACACACACACAAGCACACAUUUUCUAUGGAAAUAUACAUGAAACAUUUAUAAAUGUUACUUACCACAUAUUAGACUUCAAAAGAUAAUCAAUACAUUCUAAAAUAGCAAAAGUUGUAUAGAAUACAUUCAAAUAUAUUCCCUUCUCUCAAUAAAAAAAAAAAAAACAGAAAUAAGUAGUAUAGUUCCAAAAGUCUC